GUCAAAUUAAUGUAAGUUUGUGAGAUAUCCAAAGUAAACUAUUGGAUAUUAAUUCUACAAUCCUAUUGAGCAAAAGGUAUUUGUAUCAAAACAUGCUACCUUUUUGAAAAGGAGUUUGUCCUUAAAGGAAGUAGUGGGAGCAAGUAGAAUUUGAAGAAGUUCAAGAAACACAAACUGACAUCCAAAUGGAGCUAGAGAGUAAGGCGUUAGCAU
rnacentral:misc_RNA from 1 species